UGGGGAAUAUUGCACAAUGGGCGCAAGCCUGAUGCAGCCAUGCCGCGUGUGUGAAGAAGGCCUUCGGGUUGUAAAGCACUUUCAGCGAGGAGGAAGGUGGUGAGCUUAAUACGCUCAUCAAUUGACGUUACUCGCAGAAGAAGCACCGGCUAACUCCGUGCCAGCAGCCGCGGUAAUACGGAGGGUGCAAGCGUUAAUCGGAAUUACUGGGCGUAAAGCGCACGCAGGCGGUUUGUUAAGUCAGAUGUGAAAUCCCCGGGCUCAACCUGGGAACUGCAUUUGAAACUGGCAAGCUAGAGUCUCGUAGAGGGGGGUAGAAUUCCAGGUGUAGCGGUGAAAUGCGUAGAGAUCUGGAGGAAUACCGGUGGCGAAGGCGGCCCCCUGGACGAAGACUGACGCUCAGGUGCGAAAGCGUGGGGCAGCAAACAGGAUUAGAUACCCUGGUAGUCCAGCGCUGUAAAACGAUGUCGAUUUGGAGGUUGUGCCCUUGAGGCGUGGCUUCCGGAGCUAACGCGUUAAAUCGACCGCCUGGGGAGUACGGCCGCAAGGUUAAAACUUAAAUGAAUUGAC
rnacentral:rRNA from 1 species